GUUUUCUGCUUGUGUUUAUAUUUUCAGAAGGGGGCUGAAGAGCUAUGCCCAGACUGGAGCACGAGUCUGCUUGCUGGUGUGUUUCUCAGUCCAGUUUGAUUUUUUAAAGGUACCCUCCAUGGGACAGAACUCUGCUUACAAACUUUAAAACUGGAUGAUGCAAAAAUUACCUGCACAGCAGAGGAGGACAACGAACCAUAAAGGGGGCUCAAGAUCUGCAUAUUCAACAAGCUUCCCAAGGGAUUUUGAUGGAUUCAGAACCACCCUCUACAAAUCCCUUCUAACCACAACAAAAUGGAUGGGCUGAGUGUUCAUAUUGCCUCACCUUUCAUCAAAGCACCAUCUGGGAACCAGAACUUGGCAUUUGAGAAAAAUCAGAGAUGACUAAGAAUAAGAACAAUCUCAUCAGGAGAAGAGCCGUUGAUCUCCUGUUCCUCUUCUAGAAGAAUUGAGAACAGAAAGGAUCAUUAAACAUCACCUACUCCAAAUGCAUUCGUUUCCAGAACUCCACAAGCAAGGGCAGAGCCCAGGACUCCUGUUGCCUGAUUUUGUGCCUGAGGAUCUUGGCUCUUGAAGCAGGAGAACCUUCAGUGUAUGUUAGAAACUUCUGGGAGGGCUUGGCCAAGAUACAAGCUCUGGAUCCCACCACGGAGAUUCUGCUUCUGCAGGCUGAGGUCUGUCCAGGAAACAGCAUUUUAAUAAGCUCAGAUUCUGAUUUGGAUGAUCUUUGAAACAAACCAAAGCCCAAUACACACAAGCUUCCCAAUCACUUGCAGUUAAUUUUCACAAACGUUUUCUUAUAUUCAUUAUUAAUCUAGAA